rnacentral:lncRNA from 1 species
CGCAGUCUCUUCGUCCUUCAUUUUGAAGGCCUCUUCCGCUCGGGCGUAUCCUUCAGCCCGAGCCAGUAAAUCAGCAAAAUCCCUGGGGUACUUCUUCUCCAGGGAGUACAAGAGGUCAUUCUUCUGAAGGCCACCCUUCAGGGCGGCCAUGGCAACCGACUGGUCCAGGUUUCGGACCUCCAACGCCGCGAUGUUGAAGCGGUUGACGUAGGCCCGGAUGGACUCCCCUUCCCUCUGCUUGAUGUUGAUGAGGGACUCCGAACCUUUACGGGGGCGCCGGCUGCUGACAAAAUGGGCCACGAAUUGGUGGCUCAUUGAUCGAAGGAGAAUAUGGUACCCGGCUUCAGAGCUGAGUACCAGUUCCUUGCUGCUCCCUUCAAAGUAGACGGAAAAGCCCGACACAAGAUGGCGUCGGGAGCACCGUGAAGCAGCAUCAUCAUUCGGAAGGCCUCCAGAUGAUCCACCGGGUCUGACGUCCCGUCGUAGCUUUCAAACUGGGGGAGCUUGAAAUUCGACGGGAUCGGUUCCUGCAUAAUCAUUUGGGAGAAGGGAGGGUCGGUGCAGAUAUCCUCACCGUAAGCGGGAGGCGCGUGGCAGAGUUCUUCGAUCCGCCGGUUCAUCUCCUAGAGCCUCCGGUCCAGGAAGUCCUCUCGACUUCGCGUCUCGAGGGUCCUUUGGCAGAAUGGGGGCAGGGAUCUCCCAGGAGUGGAGUCGUGGUCCGAUUGAGGGCUCUCUACCCUCG